CGGACGGGUGAGUAACGCGUGAGAAUCUAGCUUCAGGUUCGGGACAACAUUGGGAAACCGAUGCUAAUACCGGAUGUGCCGAGAGGUGAAAGGCUUGCUGCCUGAAGAAGAGCUCGCGUCUGAUUAGCUAGUUGGUGGUGUAAGGGACUACCAAGGCGACGAUCAGUAGCUGGUCUGAGAGGAUGAUCAGCCACACUGGAACUGAGACACGGUCCAGACUCCUACGGGAGGCAGCAGUGGGGAAUUUUCCGCAAUGGGCGAAAGCCUGACGGAGCAAUACCGCGUGAGCAAGGGGGCUCUUGGGUUGUAAACCUCUUUUCUCAGGGAAUAAGCAAUGAAGGUACCUGAGGAAUCAGCAUCGGCUAACUCCGUGCCAGC
rnacentral:rRNA from 1 species